rnacentral:rRNA from 1 species
AUUGAACGCUGGCGGCAGGCCUAACACAUGCAAGUCGAACGAGUGGCGGACGGGUGAGUAAUGUCUGGGAAACUGCAUGAUGGAGGGGGAUAAAUACUGGAAAAGGUAGCUAAUACCGCAUAACAACGGAUGUGGACAAGUGGGAUUAGCUAGUAGGUGGGGGAAAGGCUCACAUAGGCGACGAUACCUAGCUGGUCUGAGAGGAUGACCAGCCCCACUGGCACUGAGCCACGGCCCAGACUCCUACGGGAGGCAGCAGUGGGGAAUGUUGCACAAUGGGCGCAAGCCUGAUGCAGCCAUGCCGCGUGUAUGAAGAAGGCCUUCGGGUUGUAAAGUACUUUCAGCGGGGAGGCGUUACCCACAGAAUAAGCACCGGCUAACUCCGUGCCAGCAGCCGCGGUAAUAC